rnacentral:rRNA from 1 species
AGAGUUUGAUCCUGGCUCAGGAUGAACGCUAGCGGCAGGCCUAACACAUGCAAGUCGAGGGGCAGCGCGGGGUAGCAAUACUCUGGCGGCGACCGGCGGAAGGGUGCGUAACGCGUGAGCAACUUGCCCGUAUCUGGGACAUAACCGGUGGAAACGCCGCCUAAUUUCCCAUAACAACUGAGGCCGCAUGACCUUAGUUUGAAAGAUUCGUCGGAUACGGAUGGGCUCGCGUGACAUUAGCUAGUUGGAGUGGUAACGGCACACCAAGGCUACGAUGUCUAGGGGUUCUGAGAGGAAGAUCCCCCACACUGGAACUGAGACACGGUCCAGACUCCUACGGGAGGCAGCAGUGAGGAAUAUUGGUCAAUGGGCGGAAGCCUGAACCAGCCAUGCCGCGUGAAGGAAUAAGGCCCUAUGGGUUGUAAACUUCUUUUGACGGGGAGCAAUAAGGCGCACGUGUGCGUUGAUGAGAGUACCCAGCGAAUAAGCAUCGGCUAACUCCGUGCCAGCAGCCGCGGUAAUACGGAGGAUGCAAGCGUUAUCCGGAUUUAUUGGGUUUAAAGGGUGCGUAGGCUGUUGUUCAAGUCAGAGGUGAAAGCCCGGGGCUCAACUCCGGAACUGCCUUUGAUACUGGGCGGCUUGAAUCCUGUUGCCGUGGGAGGAAUGAGUAGUGUAGCGGUGAAAUGCAUAGAUAUUACUCAGAACACCGAUUGCGAAGGCAUCUCACGAAGCAGGUAUUGACGCUGAGGCACGAAAGCGUGGGGAUCAAACAGGAUUAGAUACCCUGGUAGUCCACGCAGUAAACGAUGAUGAAUAGCCGUCGGCGAUACACAAGUCGGUGGCCAAGAGAAAGCGAUAAGUUCAUCCCCCGGGGGAGUACGACCGCAGGGUUGAAACUCAAAGAAAUUGACGGGGGCCCGCCCAAGCGGAGGAACAUGUGGUUUAUUUCGAUGUUACGCGAGGACCCUUUACCCGGGCUCGAACGGCUGGGGAGGAGAUCCAGAGAUGGUGAGUUCCUUCGGGACACCAGUCGAGGUGCUGCAUGGUGGUCGUCAGCUCGUGUCGUGAGAUGUGGGUUCAAGUGCCUUAACGAGCGCAACCCUUGCUGCCAGUUACCAGCGCAUAAUGGCGGGGACUCUGGCGGGACUGCCACCGUAAGGUGUGAGGAAGGCGGGGAUGACGUCAAAUCAGCACGGCCCUUACGUCCGGGGCGACACACGUGUUACAAUGGUGGGUACAGAGGGCGGCUACCUGGCGACAGGAUGCAAAUCUCGAAAACCCAUCCCAGUUCGGAUCGGAGUCUGCAACUCGACUCCGUGAAGUUGGAUUCGCUAGUAAUCGCGCAUCAGCCAUGGCGCGGUGAAUACGUUCCCGGGCCUUGCACACACCGCCCGUCAAG